UGGGGAAUAUUGCACAAUGGGCGCAAGCCUGAUGCAGCCAUGCCGCGUGUAUGAAGAAGGCCUUCGGGUUGUAAAGUACUUUCAGCGGGGAGGAAGGGAGUAAGGUUAAUAACCUUAUUCAUUGACGUUACCCGCAGAAGAAGCACCGGCUAACUCCGUGCCAGCAGCCGCGGUAAUACGGAGGGUGCAAGCGUUAAUCGGAAUUACUGGGCGUAAAGCGCACGCAGGCGGUCUGUCAAGUCGGAUGUGAAAUCCCCGGGCUCAACCUGGGAACUACAUUCGAAACUGGCAGGCUGGAGUCUUGUAGAGGGGGUAGAAUUCCAGGUGUAGCGGUGAAAUUGCGUAGAGAUCUGGAGGAAUACCGGUGGCGAAGGCGGCCCCCUGACAAAGACUGACGCUCAGGUGCGAAAGCGUGGGAGCAAACA
rnacentral:rRNA from 1 species